GCCUCAGUAACGGCGAGUGAAGCGGCAACAGCUCAAAUUUGAAAUCUGGCUCUCGGGCCCGAGUUGUAAUUUGCAGAGGAUGUUUCUGGCGAGGUGCCUUCCGAGUUCCCUGGAACGGGACGCCAUAGAGGGUGAGAGCCCCGUACGGUUGGUCGCUAAGCCUCUGUGAAACUCCUUCGACGAGUCGAGUAGUUUGGGAAUGCUGCUCUAAAUGGGAGGUAUACGUCUUCUAAAGCUAAAUACCGGCCAGAGACCGAUAGCGCACAAGUAGAGUGAUCGAAAGAUGAAAAGUACUUUGAAAAGAGGGUUAAACAGUACGUGAAAUUGUUGAAAGGGAAGCGUUUAUGACCAGACUUGCGCCGGUUGAUCACCCGUCGUUCUCGGCGGUGCACUCUGCCGGCGCAGGCCAGCAUCAGUUCGGCCUGGAGGAUAAAGGCUUCGGUAAUGUGGCCCACCCGUGGGUGUUAUAGACCGUUGCGUAAUACUCUGUGCUGGACUGAGGUCCGCGCUCUGCAAGGAUGCUGGCAUAAUGGUCAUCAGCGACCCGUCUUGAAACACGGACCAAGGAGUCGUCUUCGUAUGCGAGUGUUCGGGUGUCAAACCCCUGCGCGUAAUGAAAGUGAACGUAGGAGAGAGCUUCGGCGCAUCUCCGACCGAUCCUGAUGUUCUCGGAUGGAUUUGAGUAAGAGCAUACGGGGCCGGACCCGAAAGAAGGUGAACUAUGCUUGUGUAGGGUGAAGCCAGAGGAAACUCUGGUGGAGGCUCGCAGCGGUUCUGACGUGCAAAUCGAUCGUCAAACAUGAGCAUGGGGGCGAAAGACUAAUCGAACCUUCUAGUAGCUGGU
rnacentral:rRNA from 1 species